AUUGAACGCUGGCGGCAGGCCUAACACAUGCAAGUCGAGCGGACGAAUGAGGCUCUUUCCUGUAUUCCGCUACCGACGGGCGGGUAAUUCCUAGGAAUCUGCCUGGUCUUUGGGGCUAACGUCCCGACACGGGCCCUAAUAUCGCACACGUCCUGAUGUAGAAAGUGAUGGAUCUUUGGUCCACACGCUUUUUGAUGUGCCUAGGCCGUAUUAGCUAGUUGGUUUGGUAAAGGCUUACCAAGGCGACGAUCCGUAGCUGGUCUGAGAGGAUGAUCAGUCACACUGGAACUGAGACACGGUCCAGACUCCUACGGGAGGCAGCAGUAGGGAAUAUUGGGCAAUGGGCGAAAGCCUGAUGGAGCAAUGCCGCGUGUGUGAAGAAGGUCUUCGGAUUGUAAAACACUUUUAGUAGGGAGGAAGAACAGUGAAUUAAAACCUUGCUGUUUUGACGGUACCAACAGAGUAAGCCACGGCUAACUUCGUG
rnacentral:rRNA from 1 species